rnacentral:rRNA from 1 species
UACGAAGGGGGCUAGCGUUGCUCGGAAUCACUGGGCGUAAAGCGCACGUAGGCGGACUCUUAAGUCAGAGGUGAAAUCCUGGAGCUCAACUCCAGAACUGCCUUUGAUACUGAGAGCCUUGAGUCCGGAAGAGGUAAGUGGAACUGCGAGUGUAGAGGUGAAAUUCGUAGAUAUUCGCAAGAACACCAGUGGCGAAGGCGGCUUACUGGUCCGGUACUGACGCUGAGGUGCGAAAGCGUGGGGAG